UGGGGAAUAUUGGACAAUGGGCGCAAGCCUGAUCCAGCCAUGCCGCGUGUGUGAAGAAGGCCUUUUGGUUGUAAAGCACUUAAGCGAGGGGGGGGGUACUGAGGUUAAUUCUCUUGGAUAGUGGACGUUACUCGCAGAAUAAGCACCGGCUAACCCUGUGCCAGCAGCCGCGGUAAUACAGAGGGUGCGAGCGUUAAUCGGAUUUACUGGGCGUAAAGCGUGCGUAGGCGGCUUCUUAAGUCGGAUGUGAAAUCCCUGAGCUUAACUUAGGAAUUGCAUUCGAUACUGGGAAGCUAGAGUAUGGGAGAGGAUGGUAGAAUUCCAGGUGUAGCGGUGAAAUGCGUAGAGAUCUGGAGGAAUACCGAUGGCGAAGGCAGCCAUCUGGCCUAAUACUGACGCUGAGGUACGAAAGCAUGGGGAGCAAACAGG
rnacentral:rRNA from 1 species